GAAUGGCUCAAGGGGAAGAGCAUGGGGUUGGCAUCCCAAUGGUCCCGGGUUCAAAUCUGGGCGUGUAUA